rnacentral:misc_RNA from 1 species
AAAUUAUAUUACGUACUUCUCAAGAGGCAAAUGUAAUUACGAAUCUACGAUCAUAUCAUUGUUGUUGCCACCCAUAUUGUUGGUUGCGAUUUCCACCCAUCACAUUGGAGCCACGGCCAGUACCGGAACUACCAGGAUAUGGACCAUUCUGUGGAUAAUUUGGAGCUCCCACGCCAUAACCACCGCUGCCUCCAGCUCCACCUCGAGGACCAGCACCAGA